rnacentral:lncRNA from 1 species
GUUAUUUAUCUGGAAGUAGACCACAAGACAGCUUCAGAUCAUCUGAGAGCUGAAAAAAAAAAUGGAGGCCUCCCGUGUCUGAUGAGCUAGGCAUGGAAGUGCAUAAGCCAACGGGAAAGCAGCUCUUAGUCCUUGUAAAGCAAAAAGGAGAAAGAUGGAGCCAAGGAAAUGUGGCCACUGCUGCUAUCCACGGAAGCUGGAGGAGGGAAAAAGAGGAGAGCACUCUAAGUACAAAAUGAGACAACAGUAGCUAAGCCACGUUCCAAUAGGAAUUUGUCACCGGUCAUCUGUACCCUCAGAGAACACGCUCUACGUGGGAUCCCACUCCACCCACGGCUCAGCUGUUAGUUUCUGCUUUGUAACUUGUCUCCGUCCCCGUUUUCUGCCCCCCAGCAACUGGCCAGGAUGAUUACUCAAGGAGAGAGAUAUUGGAUCAAAGCUGGGCAAACCUAAUUAUCUUUCUUGGAAAAAUGACCCAGAAAAGAGCCAC